AGAGUUUGAUCAUGGCUCAGAAUCAACGCUGGCGGCGUGCCUAACACAUGCAAGUCGAGCGAGAAAAGGGGAGCAAUCCUCUGAGUAAAGCGGCGCACGGGUGAGUAACACGUGGGUAAUCUACCCUGAAGUGGGGAAUAACACCGGGAAACCGGUGCUAAUACCGCAUAUGAUCACGGUGUCUGCGGACACAGGGAUGAAAGGAGCAAUUCGCUUCAGGAGGAGCCCGCGGCUGAUUAGCUAGUUGGUGAGGUAAUGGCUCACCAAGGCUACGAUCAGUAUCCGGUCUGAGAGGACGGUCGGACACACUGGAACUGAGACACGGUCCAGACUCCUACGGGAGGCAGCAGUGGGGAAUUUUUCGCAAUGGGGGCAACCCUGACGAAGCAACGCCGCGUGGAUGAUGAAGUAUCUCGGUACGUAAAAUCCUUUCGACAGGGAAGAAACCGCAAGGUUGACGGUACCUGUAGAAGAAGCCCCGGCUAACUCCGUGCCAGCAGCCGCGGUAAUACGGGGGGGGCGAGCGUUGUUCGGAAUUACUGGGCGUAAAGGGCGCGUAGGCGGUCUGCUAAGUUGGAUGUGAAAACUCUGGGCUUAACCCAGAGCCUGCAUUCAAUACUGACAGGCUAGAGUUCUGGAGGGGAUAGCGGAAUUCCUGGUGUAGCGGUGAAAUGCGUAGAUAUCAGGAGGAACACCGGUGGCGAAGGCGGCUAUCUGGACAGAAACUGACGCUGAGGCGCGAAAGCUAGGGGAGCAAACAGGAUUAGAUACCCUAGUAGUCC
rnacentral:rRNA from 1 species